rnacentral:rRNA from 1 species
GACGAACGCUGGCGGCGUGCUUAACACAUGCAAGUCGAACGGAAAGGCCCUGCUUUUGUGGGGUGCUCGAGUGGCGAACGGGUGAGUAACACGUGAGUAACCUGCCCUGGACUUUGGGAUAACUUCAGGAAACUGGGGCUAAUAACGGAUAGGAGCUCCUGCUGCAUGGUGGGGGUUGGAAAGUUUCGGCGGUUGGGGAUGGACUCGCGGCUUAUCAGCUUGUUGGUGGGGUAGUGGCUUACCAAGGCUUUGACGGGUAGCCGGCCUGAGAGGGUGACCGGCCACAUUGGGACUGAGAUACGGCCCAGACUCCUACGGGAGGCAGCAGUGGGGAAUAUUGCACAAUGGGCGGAAGCCUGAUGCAGCAACGCCGCGUGCGGGAUGACGGCCUUCGGGUUGUAAACCGCUUUCGCCUGUGACGAAGCGUGAGUGACGGUAAUGGGUAAAGAAGCACCGGCUAACUACGUG